rnacentral:rRNA from 1 species
AACGAACGCUGGCGGCGUGCUUAACACAUGCAAGUCGAACGCGAAAGCACCAUCUUGCUGGUGUGGAUUAGUUACGAACGGGUGAGUAAUACGUGAGUAACCUGCCCUUGACUCUGGGAUAUGCCCGUGAAGCUUAGUCUAUUCCUAGAUACUACAUAUCACCUCAUGGUGGGCUGUGGAUAGGUUUUACUGUUCUUGGAUGGGCUCACUGCCUAUGAGCUUGUUCGUGGGGGAAUGGCUAACCAAGGCAACCACGGUUAGCCUGCCUUAGAGGGUGACCGGGAACAGCGGGACUGAGACAGGGCCAAGACUCCGACGCGAGGGAGAAGCGGGGAAGAUGGAAAAAGGGGAGAAGGCCUGAUGCAGAGACGCCGAGUGAGGGAUGACGGUGUACGGGUUGUGAACCUAAUUCAGCAGGGCAGAAGCUAAAAGUGACGGUACCUGGAGAAGAAGCGCCGGCUAACUACGUG